rnacentral:lncRNA from 1 species
GCCUUGGGGAGAUUUCCUGGCUCCUCUAAAAGCUGGAGCUGCCUUUCUCACCCCAGAAAUCUGUCUCUUUACAUAUGUAGGCAGAAGAGUGUCCCCAGGAAGAACCUGGACACUUCCCACAUGGCACACUAGGCUGACUUCCCACAUGUGGGAACUUAGGGCCACGGCCAAGGUAAGAAGCCAGUGCUGCUACCAGCCGCCAGCCACAGCUCCUGAGCCCUCGGCCAUGGGACAUCUGACCUGCCCUGUGGCAGACGACUCCAGGUACAGGGUCCCAGGACAACAGAGCCUGCUCCACACACUGGAACCAGAGGUGGAUGAGGACUGAAGGAGGAAGAGGAGAAGGCAGAGGGCCUGGCCCAGCCUCUUCACUCCGCCGACCCUUGCAGGUGUCAGUUCAAAGUCCUGAGUGGAGCUCCCGGAUGACUGCACAACCAGGGGCCAAGCAGAUUAGCCGACUCCAGUGGAGCAGGCUAGAGACCUAUAACUGGGAGUGGGGGAAUCCCUUGAAUUAUAAAAUCAAAAAAUAUAAAAUUCCAGGCCAGGCAUGGUGCCUCAUGCCUGUAAUCCCAACACUUUAGGAGGCCAAAGUAGGAGAACUGCUUGAGCUCAGGAAUUUGAGACCAGCCUGGGCAACCCCAUCUCUACCAAAUAGAUAAUAUAUGUAAUAUAUGUAUAACUUAUACAUAUAAAUAUUAUAUAUAUGUUAUAACUGUACUCCUAGGAGUUAUAUAUAUUACAUAUAGUUUUAUAUAUAUAUAUUUCUAUA